rnacentral:rRNA from 1 species
AUGAACGCUGGCGGCGUGCCUAAUACAUGCCAGUCGCGCGAACAGACGAGGAGCUUGCUCCUCUGACGUUAGCGGCGGACGGGUGAGUAACACGUGGAUAACCUACCUAUAAGACUGGGAUAACUUCGGGAAACCGGAGCUAAUACCGGAUAAUAUAUUGAACCGCAUGGUUCAAUAGUGAAAGACGGUUUUGCUGUCACUUAUAGAUGGAUCCGCGCCGCAUUAGCUAGUUGGUAAGGUAACGGCUUACCAAGGCGACGAUGCGUAGCCGACCUGAGAGGGUGAUCGGCCACACUGGAACUGAGACACGGUCCAGACUCCUACGGGAGGCAGCAGUAGGGAAUCUUCCGCAAUGGGCGAAAGCUUGACGGAGCAACGCCGCGUGAGUGAUGAAGGUCUUCGGAUCGUAAAACUCUGUUAUUAGGGAAGAACAAAUGUGUAAGUAACUAUGCACGUCUUGACGGUACCUAAUCAGAAAGCCACGGCUAACUACGU